GCAGCACAGCGCUGCGCUCCUAGAGAAGCUGUGGGUUCGUGGCAUCCGCGCCGCGGCCGCAAAUAUAGCAGGUUUCGUACCUGGUGUUCAUCGCCGUUAAGUCAUCGCUGCUGCCACCCAGGCACGGCUCUCUAUGCCGCCGCUCCCUCCACCCUCUCUGCACUGCCAGCAGUAAGAAUUUUUACUGCGACACUCGCUUCAGCAGGAGAUUUUAUUGGCUGUAGACACGCCCAGCAUCUUCUUGAGCUCCUCCCUGAGGUGGAUGGGCAGCUAGCUGCAGGUGGCACAGGAUGAUACACAUCUUUUCUCACGCCGCUUUGCCCUCUAGCUCCAAGAUCUCGGCUGCCAGAUGCAGCGACAGAGCUUCUUUGUACAUACAGCCCUGGACACACUUUCAGCAGCAACUCUUCUUGCGCGAGCUGGUGCAAGAACAGGAUUCAUCUGUGGCACAGGAACAGUUGGUGUCAACCGAUGGAGGCAGAGGAGAGACCAGAGCCGGUAGGUAUGCUAGGGGAGAUGACUUCAACUGAAGUGGAGUAAAUAAAGAUGAUUGCAGAACUUGGAAGCUGACGAAAUCAGUUUUGGAAAAGAGCUGGCUUGGAGCGUGACAGAAGGGAGAGAUGGAAAGAAUGCUGGGAGUCCAACUCAAGACUGAUGUGUGCUUGGCAGGCAGUCUACCCCAGUCUCAGUCCUCUAGCCUUUUGGCCUUUUUUCCUUUUUGGAGACAGGAUUGCAUCAUAGGGCAGCCUGGCCUCCUACACAGUCCUGCCUCAGUCUCUGGAGUGCUGGGAUUGUAGGCCUAUACCACCGCGCCUUUCUACAAUACAAACAGGAAAGGAAGAGGGGCUUCUUUGGAAAGGAGUAAAAGGACCAUGGAAGAGAUAAGAAGAUAAUGUUGUCAGAAAUUAUGCUGCUUGUGAAGAGGUAAACUGAACCCUUUUGAUUCUGUGAGGUUAUUAAAGAAUAUAAUUUUCAAAUCACGGUAAAAUCUUGAUUCAGAAACACAUGAGGAUAAUCAUUGUUUCCAUGGAAACCUUGGGAGACAGUUGAAAGCCUGGGUUGGAAGGAACAGAGCCAGUUGGCCAUGGACUGAAACUUUUGGAACUGAUUCUGAGGAGUUAAUGUUUCCAUGAAUAUCUCAGAAGGAGAUGUGGACAAAGGAACACUUGUCUCACUCUCGUAGCUGACUGAGCUUUUUUAAGAUGGCUGGUCUAAAUUCUUCAGAGAUGGCGCAGUGUCAGAAUCAUGUGUGGCCUCCUCCUGCCUGAACCAUGCCGCUAAGACAGUUGCCCACUGUGCAGUUUCACACCAUCUGCAGAGAGCAACACUGGCUUCGAGAGCCUUGCCAGUUACUGAAAGCCUGGCUGACUGCCAAGCUUUGCACUGUGGACUGAAAAUUGCUCUCUUUGCUGAGUUCAGUACUAAAAUUUAGAUCUUCAUGGUCUCCCGGGAGACCAUGUCAGCUGCUGUUCAAGUGAGAUAAAUUUGGAUCACCUGGAGAUAUGCACGCUCUAUGCCUUCCUUGACUGUCAGCUAAACAGUCUGCGCUCCUGGCUUAGUACAGCCUUGGCUGCUGAGAGCCCCCAUUCCUCCCCUGUGCUCUUCAUUGUCCUCAUGAUCUGACUUUCAUUAUACUCCUAACACUGGGAGUGAAGUGUCAUUGAAGAAUGUUCUUCAGGUACUACCUCAAAGGGCUGGAGAUGAAUGCUUUGAUUCUGCAUUCCUCCUAGGACACAUAUCAAGCCCCCAGAAUUUCUCACUGUCCAGUUGCACCAGUGUGAGGAAUUUGAUGGUUUUAGGAAAGUGAAAGUGCUCUUCUGGUCCAUAUAAAUGUCCGUGCAGAUCCAAAGCCAUGCAUUGCAUGGUAGCUCACCUUUAAUCCUAGCGCUCGGAAGACAGAGGCAGGCAGAUCUCUGUGAGCACAAGGCCAGCCUGGUCUACACAGUGAGUUCCAGGACAGCCAAGGCUACACAGGAAUCCUGUGUACAGGUCCUUGGUAUUGCACUCUUCUCUAUAAAUACAAUUUGUUUUUAGAAUGUGUGGUUUUUAAGUUGUUCUGUGCAGGCUGGAUAAAGGCUAGCCCACUAUUGCACCCAUCAGCUUGUUCCUGUCACUUCUUCUCACCUUUGAGCACUUAGCAUAUCUCUCUAUUUUGUCUUUGCUGAAAUGGUUUCUAAGGGGAAGCUCCUCUGUCGCUGUCCUCUAGCCCCAGCCAAGAUAUUUUCAAGAUUUUUCUUUGUCCUUCUGUAAUUUGAAUAUGAUGAAUGUUUUUAUUUACUACUUCAUUUUGUAUUUUGAAUCUUUUUAAAACCGUGCCAGGUUCUGUGAGGCUACUGGUUCUGACAGGAAUUGAGCAAUUAUCUUAGGCCCUUGUGUUUCAAAUCUUUCUUUCUUUCUUUCUUUCUUUCUUUCUUUCUUUCUUUCUUUCUUUCUUUCUUUCUUUCUUUUUUUAGAUAGGGUUUCUCUGUGUAGCCCUAGCUGUCCUGGAACUCACCCUGUAAACCAGACUGUCCUUGAACUCAGAAGUCCACCUUCCUCUGCCUCCCAAGUGCUGGGAUUAAAGGCAUGUGUCACCACUGCCUGGCUUACUCAAAUAUUUCUUUUAGUUUUCUGUCCUCUUUUUCUAGUGAUCUCAUUUUACAUGUAUAUAUUCUCUGCUUGUCCCAGUUCUCUCUCUCUCUCUCUCUCUCUCUCUCUCUCUCUCUNNNNNNNNNNNNNNNCUUUCAAGCCAGGCUUUCUCCAUGGUUGUACUGGAACUCUCUGUAGACUAGGCUGGCCUCAGACUCUCAAAUAUCUCCCUGCCUCUGCCUCCCAUGUUCUGGGAUUAUAUCCCUCCACUGCCCGACAGCAUUUAUUUUAUUCUUAAGAUUUGUUUUUCCCAACUCUUGUUUGUCUGUUUGUUUUGUUUGGUCAUUGGUUUUGAUGUAUUUGAACUUGCUUUCUUUAUGUGAUGAUAAGCCUACGUGUGUAAUUUUUGCAUUCAUCUCCCAAAUGCUGAAAUAUAGACAGAAACCGCCACACACUGUGUUUGUUUGGUUUUGUUUUGCAUGCCUUUAUAUCUGUGUUGUGUACAGUCCUGGUACCAAAGGAAUCCAUCACAUUCUCUAGAACUUGAAUUACAGAUGGUUGUGAGUUGUCAUACGGUGCUGAGCAUUAAACUUGAUCUUCUGAAGAGCAACCACUACUGAUUUUAACUGCCGAGUCAUGUCUCCAGUCCCAAAGGGGGUUUGUUUGUUUGUUUGUUUGUUUGUUUUUUAUUACUGUGAUGAUCCUAUAAUGAACAAGAGAACGCAGGUGGUUUGUUUAUGUGUUUGUUUGUUUUUUGAGACAGGGUUUCACAGUGUGUCCUUGGCUGUCCUGGAAUUUAAAGAUCAGACUGGCCUUGAUCUCACAGAGAUCUGCCUACUUUUUCACUGAGAUUAAAGGUCUGCACUAACACCUCCAGGCCAGAUGUCUCUUUAACAGACUGACUUUAGUUCCACACAAGUAUUAUGAUUGUUUCUUCCUGUCCUGUGACGAAUUCUAUUGGUUUGGGGUUUGGUUUGUGGGAUUUUUGUUUUCUGGGUUUUUGUUAUUUUUCCCCCCUAAAGAUCAUGUUGUCUUUUUCUUUGGU
ensembl:lincRNA